rnacentral:rRNA from 1 species
UACGUAGGGAGCAAGCGUUGUCCGGAAUCAUUGGGCGUAAAGCGCGCGUAGGUGGCCUCAUAAAGUCCGCUGUGAAAGUCAAAGGCUCAACCUUUGAAAGCCGGUGGAUACUGUGGGGCUAGAGUACGGAAGAGGCGAGUGGAAUUCCUGGUGUAGCGGUGAAAUGCGUAGAUAUCGGGAGGAACACCUGUGGCGAAAAGCGGCUCACUGGACCACAACUGACGCUGAGGCGCGAAAGCUAGGGGAGCAAACAGGG